UGACAGGAUGCCACCCACCACCCUGCAGACACUGAAGUACCCCUGACAGAUAUGCUUUCUAACCAAGGGUUUGGUGAGAGCCCCCAAGGAGCAGCAGGCUGGAGAGCCUGAGGAGGUCCAUCUACCCAGUACUCACUCUCUUGCCCCCACACUGGCACAACAUGGAAGAACACUCCAAGAACCUGCUUUCCAGGUCUGGAGCAAUCAGGGAGCAGGAGCCAGACUGCCACACCAGAAUGAACACAUGCCAAGGGUUGCCAGAGUCAGACUCCAGACUCCAUUGCUGGGCGUGUGCAAGGAUGGGCUCUGAGCCUGGCUCACCUUGGGUUUGCACUACCAAGCAAUGGCCCAUGUAGACCCUAGAGCAUCACAGCUCCUCCAGACUAUCUGACUCCACUUCCCCAGUACCAGGAUCACAGGCUGGCACCACCACUCCUGGCUCACACAGGAUGAUUUUGACGUGGCUAGUUUCUGAGAGCAGUGAGCCUGGGAGCUGUCCCCACCAUGCCCUCUUCCCUCUAAGAAGUAGUGAUUCUACAAUCCUGAGGCACACCUGAGAACUACCCUGAGGCUGCAGAGCAGCCAGUGGGGUGGAGAGACAGCUCAGCAGCAAGAAUGUUUGCUGCUCUUCCGGAGGACCUGAGUUUGGUUCCCAGCGCUGUAACAGGUGGAUGAAACCCACCCAUCACCUGCAGCUCCGGGAGAUCUGACGCCCUCUUCUGGUCUGU